CCAGACUCCUACGGGAGGCAGCAGUGGGGAAUAUUGCACAAUGGGGGAAACCCUGAUGCAGCAACGCCGCGUGAGUGAAGAAGUAUUUCGGUAUGUAAAGCUCUACCAGCAGGGAAGAAGAAAGACGGUACCUGACUAAGAAGCCCCGGCUAACUACGUGCCAGCAGCCGCGGUAAUACGUAGGGGGCAAGCGUUAUCCGGAAUCACUGGGUGUAAAGGGAGCGUAGACGGCUGUGCAAGCCUGAAGUGAAAGGCGGGGGCCCAACCCCCGGACUGCUUUGGGAACUGUACGGCUGGAGUGCAGGAGAGGUAAGUGGAAUUCCUAGUGUAGCGGUGAAAUGCGUAGAUAUUAGGAGGAACACCAGUGGCGAAGGCGGCUUACUGGGCUGUAACUGACGUUGAGGCUCGAAAGCGUGGGGAGCAAACAGGAUUAGAUACCCUUGUA
rnacentral:rRNA from 1 species